rnacentral:tRNA from 1 species
GUUUGUAGCUCAGUGGCAGAGUGCUUGCUUAGCAUGUAUGAGGCACUGGGUUCAAUUCUCAGCACAACA